rnacentral:rRNA from 1 species
UACGGAGGGUGCGAGCGUUGUUCGGAAUCACUGGGCGUAAAGGGCGUGUUGGCGGUCCGCUAAGUCUGAUGUGAAAGCCCGGGGCUCACCCCCGGAAGUGCAUUGGAAACUGGCGGACUCGAGUCCCGGAGAGGAGAGUGGAAUUCCUGGUGUAGCGGUGAAAUGCGUAGAUAUCAGGAGGAACACCGGUGGCGAAGGCGGCUCUCUGGACGGUGACUGACGCUGAGACGCGAAAGCGUGGGGAGCAAACAGG